UGCCAGCAGCCGCGGUAAUACGGAGGGUGCUAGCGUUGUUCGGAUUUACUGGGCGUAAAGGGCACGUAGGCUGUCUAUCAAGUUGGGAGUGAAAUCCCGGGGCUCAACCCCGGAACUGCUCUCAAAACUGAUAGACUAGAGUUAAGUAGAGGAUAGUGGAAUUCCCAGUGUAGAGGUGAAAUUCGUAGAUAUUGGGAGGAACACCAGAAGCGAAGGCGACUAUCUGGGCUUAUACUGACGCUGAGGUGCGAAAGUGUGGGGAGCAAACAGGAUUAGAUA
rnacentral:rRNA from 1 species